rnacentral:rRNA from 1 species
UACAGAGGGGGCAAGCGUUGUUCGGAAUUACUGGGCGUAAAGGGCGCGUAGGCGGCCUUCUAAGUCGAACGUGAAAUCCCCGGGCUCAACCCGGGAACUGCGUCCGAUACUGGAAGGCUUGAAUCCGGGAGAGGGAUGCGGAAUUCCAGGUGUAGCGGUGAAAUGCGUAGAUAUCUGGAGGAACACCGGUGGCGAAGGCAGCAUCCUGGACCGGUAUUGACGCUGAGGCGCGAAAGCCAGGGGAGCAAACGGG